ensembl:lncRNA
CCACUAGCUCCACCUGGAAGCCUCUUUCUUGGGAGACAUCUGGUCAGAUGAGACUCCAGCUUUUGCUUUGAUUGCAGGACUUCUCAGAGCCUUUGAUGUGGCCAUGAGAAUGAAAAGCAGGUGAGGUAGGGAGUCCCUGUUGGGCCAGCACACUGAGAACCCUGGGCCUGAUACUCCGAGGCAAGAACUGAGUCUAUUUCUCCCUGUGUCUCCAGGCCGCUUUGGCACAGAGUGGCCCCUAGGUGUGUCCUGCCCACAGCAGGCGCCUGGCAGAGACCAGUCAUUAUAAACAAAACUUGGCUAAAGGAAUUCCCCGAUGGUCCAGUGGUGAAGAAUUCAGUUGCCAACUCAGGAGGACACCAGCUGGAUCCCUGGCCCGGCGAGAUCCCACAUGCUGCCGGGUUACUAAGCCCACGUGCCACAGCUACUGAGCCUAUGCUCCACAGCCCGUGCUCUGCAGCAAGACAAGCCCACACACCACAAAUGGAGAGUAGCCCCCACAGCAGCGAAGACCCAGCACAGCCAAAAACAAACGGGCUAAAGAGAAGAGCUGAAACAAAGAUAUGUUAAAGCUCAUAGGAAGGGUCAGAUCCUCCGCUUAGAGGAUCAGGGAAGACUGCCUGGAGGAGGUGACAUCGGAACUGAGCCUAAAGGGUAAACCUACGAAGAAUAGGUCGCCCUAGUGGGUGGGGAGUGAUGCCUCAUUGCGGUUCUGACUGGCAUUUUCCUGACGACUAAUGACGUGGAACCUCUUCGCAUGCAUCUGUUGGUUGUGCGUGUCUUCUUUGGAGAAAGGCUGGACUGGUUGGAUCUCCUUGCAGUCCAAGGGACUCUCGAGAGUCUUCUCCAACACCACCGUUCAAAAGCAUCAAUUCUUUGG